GGAAAGCUUUGAUGUUCGAUUUGUUCAUUAGGUAUUGACCGAACAUUUUUAUCAUUGAUAUGGGGAUCAUUUUGUUCUAGUAUUCAAAACAUGCCUUCUCAUUUGGUAGUUUUAGGGUACUGUCAAGGAGCCCACCUGCUUAAACUGCGGGUUCAAUACUACCGAGCAUUCACCGGCAUUAAAGGCGAGUAC
rnacentral:other from 1 species